UACCAGCACCCCGAGUGGUCGGGACGUUUUAUUGGGCCUAAAGCAUCCGUAGCCGGUUCUACAAGUCUUCCGUUAAAUCCAACUGCUUAACAGGGUGGGCUGCGGGAAGAUACUAUAGAUCUAGGAGGCGGGAGAGGCAAGCGGUACUCGAUGGGUAGGGGUAAAAUCCGUUGAUCCAUUGAAGACCACCAGUGGCGAAGGCGGCUUGCCAGAACGCGCUCGACGGUGAGGGAUGAAAGCUGGGGGGAGCAAACCGGAUUAGAAAACCC
rnacentral:rRNA from 1 species